UACGGGGGGAGCAAGCGUUGUUCGGAUUUACUGGGCGUAAAGGGCGCGUAGGCGGCCACCGCAAGUCGACUGUGAAAUCUCCGGGCUUAACCCGGAAAGGUCAGCCGAUACUGCGGGGCUAGAGUGCAGAAGGGGCAACUGGAAUUCUCGGUGUAGCGGUGAAAUGCGUAGAUAUCGGGAGGAACACCAGUAGCGAAGGCGGCUCGCUGGGCCGUUCCUGACGCUGAGACGCGAAAGCUAGGGGAGCGAACAGG
rnacentral:rRNA from 1 species